UACAGAGGGGGCAAGCGUUGUUCGGAAUUACUGGGCGUAAAGGGCGCGUAGGCGGCCUGUUAAGUCGAACGUGAAAUCCCUGGGCUCAACCCAGGAACUGCGUCCGAUACUGGCAGGCUUGAAUUCGGGAGAGGGAUGCGGAAUUCCAGGUGUAGCGGUGAAAUGCGUAGAUAUUCGGAGGAACACCAGUGGCGAAGGCGGCUCACUGGUCCAUUACUGACGCUGAGGUGCGAAAGCGUGGGGAGCAAACAGG
rnacentral:rRNA from 1 species